UGUCUCGGUAAACGUUUCUCGGAUUAUGUUAGAGACUUCAUAGACUAGCAUGUCAUAUCAGUUUUACAAAUGUCGUCUUUAACCUAUUUUGGCUAUACGUUUUAUGUUAUGAAACUAAUGCAGUAUUUAAUCUAUCUUAUGAAUUACCUUUCCGCGCAGUUUAUGUCUUAUGUUAUGUCAUGUACGUAGUCCGCUCAAGUUCAGGCACCGAGUGUAGCUCAGUCCAGGCCCAGGAUCGGGGCAUGUCAUGACUGCUCUAUAUUCCUAGACUAGUGAGGCCAUUAUCCUAGAUCUCUCCAUUCCCAGACUGGUCAGGGUUAUUCUCAGGUUCAUUAACCUUUCCCCCCAUGACGACUCAGAAUUUGACUGUUUAGGCCCGUCCCAAGAAUCGAAAUCUUCUUCCCUUCAACAAGAAGGAAAGCUGUCCAACAUCAACUAUCCAGCAGUACCAGCGGUGGUACAACAGGAGGAAGAAAAAGCUGACAUUGACUUAUAACUAAACAGGUGGAAAACGUCAAACUGAUGCCAUGCUUGUCGACAAACUUCCUAAAGAAAUAAAUGAAAUGAAGAUCAGAUGAUGAUAAAGCAGAAAACGUUCUUCGCCCCGGAAUUGGAAGCAGCUGUAGUGGAUGGAAAUGGAACAGAAGAAGGCCACAUCAUUGUAACAGCUAUUGGGGGGAAAAUGGUGAGCCUAAGCAGGUAAGAUUUUUUAAUCAUUUGAUUGUUCAGUUUACAACUAUUGGUUCAAGCUCUUAACUUUUUUUUACACUUGUCAAUUGAUGAUACAUGAGUAAUCUUGUAACGGUUUUAUUUUUCAUUUCAUGAGUACUACAAGUUAACAGGAUGAAUUGUUGAAGGAAAAGUAAUAGAUCUCUUUGCAUUAGUAUCUUUUUGUGUUAGGAACUCAGAAAAUAAAAUCAUAUCAAAGCUAAAAUUGGAAUUGAUCAUAAAUCCAACGAACAAUUCUCUUUGCCCUUCUUUGGCGUAAAUAUAGGAAGAUCUUGCACCAAUCGGAUCACAUGUAUCUUACAUAUUCAUACCUAAUAUUUUUCCACAGUGGUGACAAAAUGUAAUGUUUCCAUUUUCCAAGUUGAUUUGAUCCAUAGAUCUAUUUACUCAAUUGCAGACAUUUCUGGAACACCUUCAAGGCUUCAACAGAGGACAAAUUGCCAAUUUUGAAAGACUUCUUUUAUUUAUUUAGUAGCAUAUGUUUAUACACCCAAGAAUGGCCUAAUGGUCAAUGAAGUGGGAGGAGAAUCAUGAGACCUAGGCGAUUUUUUUUUUUUUAUCUAUCUAAGCCUUGGUGGGCAGAUUACCCGGUACCUGUGCAGGUACCCGGUGGAAUAGUCGAGGAGUCUAAGCUGGUUCAGGCACCAUUGUCAUAAAAGAGGCAUAUGUUUAUCUGAACAAUAAAAAAGCAAAUGUUUAUGUGGUUUAAGUUUUAGAAAACAAGAUUGUUCAAAUGUAUUUGUAGCUGAUUAGGUAUGUUAGUAGCAAUGCUUGUGAAGUUCCGAUGACAUUUUGGCUAACAAAUGAUGUGCAUUAGAGAUAUGUUCCUUCUUUUUCUUCAGUUUUUUUUUUAAUCCUGCCUGGUUAUUUAUAUCUAACAAUUUCCUUUUCACUGUUCUUGGGUAUGGGAAUUGCACGAGUGGGUUAAAUACGCCAAAAUGAAAUUGGUCAGUCCAAUGGCAUAAAAUCAGUUAAAUUUUCUUAUGUGAAGGUCACAAAUAUUUUAGAGAGAGUCUGUUGAACACUUAAGUCUGGAUGAAUACUUCGCAUACAUUAACUUAUACUAGGGAAUAUGGAAAUUCAGUGGGGUUGCCAUGUCUCUGUAACCAACCCAGCGAUGUCGUGCUACUUUUCUAAUUAUUCUGCAGAUUUCCUUAUAUGCGUUUUUCUCUAAUGUCUUUCUGUCGUGUUAAAAGUUUUCAUUUACUAAUUUAUUCUCUCCUGGCAUUCAGACCAUUAGU